GGAACAAAAGGAGAAGGAAAGGAAGAAUGUGAGCUCUGUGAGCCAGUGAAGGGAAUAAACUGUACCUUUGAUGUUAUCAAGCUUCUCACCAAGUCCUUCUCAAAGGAGUUCAGUAUGAAUCAGAAAGAAUCAGAAUUGACAGAGAACAGUUAAUGCAUCUUCUCUUCGCUGACGACUGUGUAAUACUAGCAAAGGACACAGCAGAACUGGAGAACAAAUUGGAGCAACUGCAAACACUUUCGCAUGACAUUGGGUUGGAAGUGAACACAUUGAAGACAAAGUGGAUGCGGAAUGAACAUUGUGCAGAAGGAAUCAUCACUAUAAAUGAGAAAGAAAUCGAGGAGGUGGACAAAUAUAUUUACGUGGGUCAGCAGCUGAGCAGAGAUAGCUCAUUCGAAGGGGAAUGCUGUAGGAGGAGAUAGAUGGGGUGGGCAAAUUUCAACAAAAUAAAGAUGUCUCUAACGGAUAACGAACUGCCAAUGAAGAAAAGGAAAGAACUGUUUAACUCCACUGUUCUGCCAGCAAUGAUAUACGGAACAGAAAGCUGGUCAAUGAUGAAAACGGAGGAAGAAAAAUUAGCGGUCACCCAGAGAGCAAUGGAAAGGUGAAUGUGUAAGAUAUCGCUCUGUGAUCACAUACCGAAUGAGGAGAUCAGAAGGUGUACAGAGGUGACCAAUGUAGUGCAGGUGAUGUACGACACAAAGCGAAGAUGGGCGGGUCAUGUAGUCUGCAGGCAAGACAAUAGGUGGAUAACACAUAUCAGUGAUUGGAUCCCCAAAGAUGACAAGUGAUCGCUGGGCAGACUGAAAACGUGCUGGGCCAAUCCCAGAACAAAACUCUUUGGCCAGAAAUGGAAAGAACGUGCUCACAACAAAAUAGCAUGGUGUGGCGACAACUUGUGUUCAAGGACGAGGACAAAUCUGAUAAAGGUGCUGUUUUUAAUAGCAUCACAAUUCACCGUCAGCUGCUGUCUCGAACAACACAAUGAAAAAAUUUAAAAGACACCUGAUGUUUUAUUUGUAGCUCUUUAAAUCUCUCCCUACACAUGUGAUGUGACGCUGUUCGUAGCGCUGAUAAAGGAUCAACAUCUUUGUUUUGGGAGUGAUAGAUAUAAUCAGAAUAAGUUGGGGCCUUCUUAAAUUUGCUAAUGCAGCCACACUUCUGAACUACUUCAUUACAAUGCUAACACAAUAUUACAAAUAAUUACAUAUUAACAGUCUAGCACAGUCUGGAAAAAUACAAUUGACAAUGCUGAUUAUUUAGGAAAUCCUUGUCUCAUUGAAAACUAUAAGAUCUAGCUAUAACGAGGACCAACUUCAAAUACUGGUCUUAGCCUCAAACUGGUCCCGCAGUUCCUGUGACUGGUGGGAACUGUGGGACAUUGUAGAAGCAGCAUCCUCCACUCUUGGGUUAGCGGGAGCCUUGCAUUACUUAACAGAGACCCCAAUAAUCAGAAAUGACAAUGAUGAGCCUCUCAAUGGAGCCCUAUCCAGCCUGCCAAGUCAGAAUGAAGUUAGUGACAUGGGCCUGGAUCCUUAAAUGUAUUUAGGCUCCUAACUUCCAUUGAAAUCAAGGAGUCUAAAAACCUUUGAGGAUCUGGGCACUGGUUCCUAUUCAAAGAACAGAGGCAAGAGUCAUAUAUUCACUUUCUCCUAUCUAGAUUUCACAAGUGAUAAACAGAGGGCUUGGAAUCUACUCCCAGCUUUGAAACUGACUCACUGUGUGAUCAUGGGAAAGUCACUUAACCCAUGUUUCUCCAUCUUCCCCAUUUGUAAAAUGGAAAUAAUUAUGCUUAUCCAUCCUUUGGUAAAAUGCUUUGAGAUCUACAGAUGAAAACUCUUAAAUACUAUUGUAAGCUAACUGGGUUUUUCAGCCUGGAAGAGGCUGUGGAUUUGAAAAGGUGGGCAAGCCAUUGCCAGAAAUGUUUGUAGAUGUUAGAAACAGAAAAUAAAUACUAAACAAAAUUUCAGAAUCUCCCCCACUCCUUAAGGAUACAAAUGCAAGUAUAGAGUAUUAUAUAAUAUAUGGCCUAAUUCUUUUAGACCCCAAUUCAAGAAAGCAUCCCUGUUGAGGCAUGGUUCUUAAACUGAUGCUCAACUUUAAGCAAAUAUUUAAAAUUACAUAUGUUCUUACGUGCUUUCCUGAAUAAUGAUGGACUUAUGCACCUCAAGUACUUUCCUGAAUUGGGGCCUUGGACUAUUGAUAACACCUUUCAAAUGAAAAUACUGAAAUGCAUUUACAAAAAAAACACAUUAAAUUGCUUUAUUUUAUAUGGCCUCUCUUCUCAUCUUUCCCCUACUUCUUGGAUUAUUUUUACUGUUGGAAAUGCCUUGUCUUCUGCUGCAACAUGUUAACACUUAAGCAAGCCUCUUGCCUCUUUCUCUUUAGGGAAAUUCUCUUUCUCUAGCAAAAAUAGGCUAUUAAAAAACAGAGCUGAACAAGGCUCCAGAUACCUUAGUACAGAGCUGAUGAAUAUUAAUUCCUCCUUUCUGAACUAGAUGCUAUUUCUUAGCUCCCAUAUUUUUACUUCCCCCCCCACCCUUCACUGGGAUCACUUCAAUUUUUUCCCCAACCCUUUAUAUCCCUCCCAUUCUUAAAUAUAGAUCCUCAUUAGCAGCAGUAUUAAAACCUACUUACAGCAGGGAAACUAUUAAUAUGAUCUUUCCACUAGUAUCUGCCAGUGUUCACCUGCUUUUGAUCCAGCACUGACUCGACAGUAAAGUUUUAUUUAUUCAAGGACUGGAGAAUGAGCAACUCUUGCUCAGUGAGGGCACAGUAUUAUACCAUUUUGAAGUUUAGUAUUUAAAAAUAAAGUAAUAAUUGCAUAUGCCAUAUAACAAUAACCUUCUUUUUUGAAUGUAGUAAAUUAUCAAACUAAUUAGUUAACAAGGACUACAUAAUAUAUACUAUUCUGUUCCAAUGGAUAAAAAGACAGGAUUGAAUUGCACAUCAAGACAUUCAUUUUAGCUAAAACUAAGAACUGUACAAUUGCAAGUGCUGUAGGUUUAAUAGAGUCAACACAACAAAGUGGCACUGAAGUGGGUUGACUGUGGGCCACAUUCUCCAAUCUAUUUCUGCAGUCAGAGAGGAGCUAAACCCCUAGAAACCAACUGGUGCCCCUACUAUGCCCCCUGUAUGGUAGAAACACCUCCUAUAGGUGUACUUUAGUCUCAGGGCUCCAUACAGAUUUGUGGGAAUCAGGGAGUAGCUGCUGUGCUGCAAACUUCAUAGAUAGAUGAAUGGCAGUUAAUACUACUCUAAGC